CCAGGAAGCCUUCUGCAAAGGGAGGGCGGGCGCUUUUGCCCUUCCUGUCUCCCUGCUGACUGGAAAGCUGAUAUGAGGCUGGCGCCCCAAUUAGCGAUGCUGGACCUUGAAGACACAGCUGAGGGUUGAGAUCCCUUACUCUGGGGGAAGCAAGCCUUGUGAGCAGCCUUAUGGAGAGGCCCACAUGAUUAGGAAAUGAAGUUUCCAGCCAACAGCCAACAAGAAACUGAGGCCUGUCAACAGCCAUGUGUGUGUCCUUGAAAUGGAUCCUGAGCCUUCAGUGACUACAGCCCUGGCUGACAGCUUGACGGUAACUUUAUGAGCGACUCUGAGCCAGAACCCCCAACAUCAGUGUGCCCAGAAUAAAAACCAACCAACGAACCAACCAACCAAACAGAAGUUACCCAAGAAGAAAAGUGGGACUCAAUCUACAGAAUCAGAGCACCUUGGGUCUUGGCUGCUGAAACACAAAACAAAUUUCCAGUGGAAAGGAAGCCAUAACCUAGAUUGUUAGACGGAUUUUGGUGUCAAUCCUGAAUAAAAUCUUGGCUUUACUACAUUUUAGUUUUGUGACCAUAGGGCAUCUAGGUGGAUGAUUCAGGCCGGGAAGCUCUUCAGUCAGCUGAACGACAAAAAGGACCUGGUCACGCCUGUGACUUAGCUCCGUGCCUCAGUUACAGGUAUCUGACGCUUGAACAUGUUGCGUCUCAGGCUCACUUCUACCAGAGGAAAAAGAGAAGACCCUUGUUCUACCUCUUCAGAGCCUACUGGAACCCUGAGGAAUUUACUAAUGAGGUCCAAUUACAGAAAAUUUCAGGUUUUUAAUCAACUUCAGAUGCACAGUUGAAGGGUUCAGCUCAACCCCCCUGAGAAAAUGUACAUUAAACAAGAUUUCAGAUGAACUGCACACUUGAUUUUCCUACUGCUUCCCCACAUCCAGCCCUCUCCCCACUUCCAAUCAUCUAUAGCAUCUCCACCCUUGCUCCCCUCAUUUCCCCUCUGCCCUCAUCUUCCCUCCCCCAGAUUUCACAAAGAGCUGUGGACUUCAGCUGCCCCUUUUGAAAAAAAACUGCAGGACACACAGAGCUCUGCAAACUGAUCCACCAGGCUGGUUUCUGCCCAAGCCCUCCCCAGCCCUAAUUUGUGGCUUUCACCUAGGUGUGCUGGGAAGACUUUUCCUGGCUGUUUCCACCCUCGUUGACUGCUAGCAAACAAUCUUUGUUUCCUCUUCGAGGAUAUUUUUGAAGGCAGAUUAGAGGCUUGAAAAAACACUUGGAAUAACUCUUUAAACAGGUUUUCCAAACACUGGUGGAAGGAAACAAGCGAGGUGCGUGGGAGCAUUCAGCCUUGAAUAACGUUCUAUUUCUCAUCCUGUGUUGCCUGGGGCCCUGCGCAGCUUGGGUUCUCCCUACCCUGUGGAAACUUUGCAAACUUCCAGGGCUUGGUCGCUGCGGAGGCUGCUACUCACCCUGGGAGAGCCGGGCCCUCCACCAGCUGCUGUGGGAAUGGCACAUCUGGCAUUCCGGCAGCCACUUCCUCUCCAGGGAAAAGCCUGGGCUCCACCCUCUGUGGUUUCACAUAGUGACGCUGGGGCUCCUGGGAAGGGGCAGGAGCGGCUGUGAGCUGUGAACAUCCUCCAGAGCUCCUGUGGGGAGGGGCAGGCUCCGCUCAGCUGAUUAAACAUUCUUCAUCUGGGGCGGACAUUUAAAGGGACCAUUGCAUGGCAUGGCCAGAUUUUCCAUAGCGGAAAAUUCUAUUUAACGAGGUGGGAAGCCCAGUUUAAAAAAAAAAAAAAAAGCAGCAGCAUCUAGGUAGGCUGGAAUAUUACUCCUCAGAGGUAGUAGCUUGAACCUUGACGAAGCAGUCCACUCUAGCUGGCAGGGAUCUCUUUAAUAAGCCAAGAUUCUUUGGGUUGCCGGUGACCGGAAAGCAACUUGAUCUAUACGGACAGACAAGGGCAUUUGUCAGCUCCUGAAAUCAGGACGGAAAUAUAGCUAGGUCUCAGGAAUGAAUGGAACCUGGGGUGUGCUGGAUCUGGCCCCUACUGGUUCUUGAGAGCUGAUUGUUCAAUUUUCAGGAAUUUUGUGAGCCAGUUGUUAAGCACAUCCACUGUUAAAAAUUAAACUAUAUAAACUCAGGCUUAACAAUUAUAUUAAACACAAAGUUAGUAAAUUCUUAAAAUUCAUCACUUCCUAAUUAUUUUGCUGCACUUUGCUAUUAUCUUUGCUCUUGAGAGUCUUUACAUGUAUUGUAACCGUAUGGUGGAAACACUCUAGAAUGGUGUGCUGUUGCCCAUCACUUUGCGACUCUAUUUUUCAGUGGUAUUAUGUUGGAAGCUUGAAAUUGGCCAUGGUAGAUGCAUUUAUACCACAGAAAUUCGCAAAUGCUGCAAAUCAGGGCUUGAUUUACUGCUUUGUUGGUUGUCUAGAGUCUAGACUUAAGAAUGUGAUGGACGGCUUCCCUGGUGGCACAGUGGUUGAGAGUCCGCCUGCCGAUGCAGGGGACACGGGUUCGUGCCCCAGUCCGGGAGGAUCCCGCAUGCCACGGAGCGGCUGGGCCCGUGAGCCAUGGCCGCGGAGCCUGCGCGUCCGGAGCCUGUGCUCCGCAACGGGAGAGGCCACAACAGUGAGAGACCGGCGUACUGCAAAAAGAAAAUAAGAAUGUGAUGGAAAAAAAUGUUGAUAAUGCAAAUUAAACUUAAAAGUAUGUCACAUCUAUAGUUUUUACAUUGUGAAUGGCAUCCAAAAAAAUGAGAAAAUAUUCUUUCCAUUUUUGAAAACUGUUCUCUACAAUCUUUGAUCUAGGACAGAUUUACAAAUGGCCACUUACCUGGAAUAUAUAUUAUUAGUUGUGUUUGGCUGGUAGGAACUUUACUGUUUUUAUUGCCUGUGUUUUACCUGGGGGAGAGACAACCACUAUCCUCUCUUCAUACUACAUUGCUUUUCUUGUUGGUAAAAAAGUGAUUUGGGGGGUUUUUCUUGUUGGUAAAAAAGUGAUUUGGGGGUUAUCUUGGUGGCCCUCAAAUUCCAAGCCAGUGUCUAUCUCCAAAGAGUCAGCCAGCGAGUUUGAAGUGUACAUUUUUGCUCUCCUUUAGAACCUUCAGUCCACAGCCUUUAUCAUCACCAUUUUCCACUGAUACUAGCAGACAAACUUGGCCCUCUUUCCCAACCUAGGUCAUGAGCAGAGCAGCUCAUGAAGUUCUUGUUCAGAAUCCUGAUUACAGAUGAUAAUCUCUGUGAACCUCCUUGAAGGAGAGCAGUUCUGCUGGGAAAGUGUGAGUGCUCCUGUGGAUUGGCACAGCUGGUGCGGCAGAGCGGGGUGGGGCAGGACAGAGCAGGAGAGGUGAUCCUACACAGGUCAUGCAACCCAGGACUACGGAAGGGGAAGGGAUCAUUGAACCCAUUACUGUGCCUCCUCACUGUUUUACCGAAACCAUUUAAAGAGCAGCAUAUAAAAGGAAGACUUUUAAAAAUCGUAAUUGUAUUCAAGGAUACAUUCCAAUGCCUUAUCUAAAUCUUUCCUUCUAUACUGUAAGUUGAUUUCUUCUUAUUCAAUUUUCCAGGCAUCUACAAAAAAAAAUUGUGUUUUAGAUAUUGAAGCUUCCUAAAACUCCCCGUUCAUCUUCUCUUCUGAACAAAACUUUUUUUAAAAGAGCCUUUUAAAUUUCUCCCACUGUGGUUUCACGGCAUCACUUUUCGGACAUUUGGUUUUUGUCUUUAAGACAAAGGGCUGCUCUAAUUUUUCUAAUAUUUUUUAAAAGAUUUGGCCUCGUGAAAACUUUUAUACUUUCUUCCUUGCUGAUUCCUCCCUUCUUUGAAUUUUUAAAAAGAUCAUGGUCAGUGCUACAUAAUUUAUUUCUUUCUAUUUGUUUCUUGUGUGGAGCUCUUUUCUACACCCAAGAAAAAUAUUGGGUUGGCCCAAAAGUUCCUUCGGUUUUAAAGUAACAAUAAAAGACACAUUUUCAUUUUCACCAAGAACUUUAUUGAACAACGUAGUCACCAUUUAUUCCACUACCUUCUGCCAUUUUUUCAGGCAACUUCAUAAUUCCAUCUUCCCAAAACUUUUUAUCUGUUUGAGCAAAGAACUGUUCCAGGUGCCUUUUACAGUCUUCCAGGGAAUUGAAAUUUUUUCCAUUAAGAGAAUUUUGUAAAGACCAAAAUAAAUGGAAAUCUGAAGGUGCAAUGUCUGGUGAAUAUGGUCAAUGAAUCGAAACUUCCCAGCCAAGCUGUAGCAGUUUUUGCCUGGUCAGCAAAGAAACAUGCGGUCUUGCGUGAUCCUGAUGGAAGAUUAUGUGUUUUUUUUUGUUUUGUUUUGUUUUGUUUGCGGUACCCGGGCCUCUCACUGUUGUGGCCUCUCCCGUUGUGGAGCACAGGCUCUGGUC